CAGGUGCGUAUACGAGGGAAUUCCAGAGGAGUUCAACUGGAAAGCCCUGAAGACAUCAUCAUCCCACGAGAUGAAUAAAAAGGGUACCAGGUGCCUCCUCCACCGUGAGGGACUGUGCCCUCGAACCGAGGACCAAAACAAACCUCCCCUUUCUUAAGUGUCUGGGUCAGGUAUCAUGUCACAGCAGCGAGGAAAGCAAUGACCAUGUUUCUUCUGUCCAGAAUUUACAGGCUCUGAGGGGGCCUGGGCAAUAAUAAGGACGGCUUACUCUGUAGAUGAGACAGCCUUGGUGAAUGACUUGACCCAGGACCACACAGAGAUCCACCGACUUUGUCUUUCUGGAUUGUUUGUGAUACAAACAGACACGUUCCUUCCAGACUCUUUGUAGAAACAUUGGUACCAUGAACAAAUGGGUUUCAAAGUAGCGUGUGCACCAUCUCUUAGAGCUGAAUGGCUCAGUUUACCAAAAGCUCAUCUCACUUGGGGAUGGUGAUGAUAACGGACUCUGCACUUUGCUCUGCGUGUAGAACAACUGUGAUGAUAUUGCAGUCUCUGGUGUCUUCAGGCUCCACUUUGAGGUCUCCUUGCAGAGCUGUUUUGAUUGGCCAGACAUGAGCCUUGCUUCCGGUCCGCUGUCAAGGCUCAAAGCCCCGGAUGCGAUGAUUCGGCCCUAGAUCCUCGUGCUUUGUCAGACAUGGACUCAGAAUUGCUCCCUGUGCAUCUGGAGGAAUAAGGUCGUAAGACCUAACCUCAGGUGUCAUUGCAGAGUUCCAGAGCCGUCCUUAUUUGCAUCUUUGGAAAUGCUUGCUGUUCAUCUGGAACUAGACACAAGAGUUACUACUGCACCCCAAUGCAUUUCUGUCUACCCCUUAGUGUUUUUUGGAAAUUUGCAUCUUUGGAAAUGCUUGCUGUUCAUCUAGACACAAGAGUUACUACUGCACCCCAAUGCA